rnacentral:rRNA from 1 species
GGUUAACGCUAGCGGCAGGCCUAAUACAUGCAAGUUGAACGGCAGCACAGGUAGCACUUCCGGGUGGCGAGGGGGGCACGGGUGCGUAACACGUAUGCAACCUACCCUAUUCAGGCGAAUAACCUUUAGAAAGGAAGGCUAAUAUGCCGCAGUAUUCCAGCUAGGGAUCUAUUUGUAAUUUAAGAUUUAUUGGUAUAAGAUGGGCAUGCGUUCCCUUAGUUGGUUGGUAAGGGAACGGCUUACCAAGACGAUGAUGGGUAGGGGAUCUGAGAGGACUUACCCCCACACUGGUACUGAGACACGGACCAGACUCCUACGGGAGGCAGCAGUAAGGAAUAUUGGGCAAUGGACGCGAGGCUGACCCAGCCAUGCCGCGUGCAGGAAGACGGCCUUAUGGGUUGUAAACUGCUUUUAUACGGGAAUAAUAGAGUGUACGCGUACAUUUAUGCAAGUAACGUAUGAAUAAGCAUCGGCUAACUCCGUG